rnacentral:lncRNA from 1 species
CAAGUGCUUAUUCUUCAUUUCUCUAUUUUUUUCAUUUCUUUUUCUCUUCUUUUUUUUCCGGUAGAGGCGGAUGUUUCUACACAGUUUUUCUUUUUCUUUUACUUGCACUUGCCCUUUUUCCAAUAUUUUUUCUAAGGAUUACCACCCCAAACUUAUCUUUUUGCACAAAUUUUACACUACAACAGUCAUGCUGAGCGAGGGUAGGAAGUGUUUGGCUUAUGGUUAACAUGACGAUUUACACAAACAAGGGGGUACAAGCUCAACGGGGUUAGCAGCGGAUGAAUACAACAUUAUGGAUGGCUAGAAAGGCUAAAAGGGUGAAAACAAACAACGUGCCUCAGUGUGCAUUUUUGUAUUGUGCUGUGUCAGUAGAACUUACACAAAAUUAGAGAGAUAAAGUCAUACCUGAAUGCGCUCUUUUUGUG